rnacentral:misc_RNA from 1 species
GAUGAAGAACGUAGUGAAAUGCGAUAAGUAAUGUGAAUUGCAGAAUUCAGUGAAUCAUCGAAUCUUUGAACGUACAUUGCGCCCGCCAGUAUUCUGGCGGGCAUGCCUGUUCGAGCGUCAUUUCAACCAUCAAGCCCCAGGCUUGUGUUGGGGACCUGCGGCUGCCGCAGGCCCUGAAAACCAGUGGCGGGCUCGCUGUCACACCGGGCGUAGUAGAUUUUAUCUCGCUCAGGGCGUGCUGCGGGUUCCGGCCGUUAAAAAGCCUUUUUUACCCAAGGUUGACCUCGGAUCAGGUAGGAAUACCCGCUGAACUUAAGCAUAUCAAUAAGCGGAGGA